AUGGCCACGUUGAUGAGGUCUGUACAGUGAGCCCUGGUUGUUGCAGUGUGACCUGGGGACAAUUAGAACAGGACCUGGCACAGGAAGCUCAAUGAGCAUUGUUGAGUAAGAGAAGGAACCUGACACACUCACCCUUUAUCUUUCACACCGACCUACUGUACGCAAAUGUUUCGAAGAUGCCGAUGGCCAUCCUACUGAGCACCGGCUGAGUCUCCAUCGUGCAGACUGUCCAGUGGCAGGAUCUCUUACUUGGGAAAUGGAGCCACCCAGACGGAGUGCAGGACCAGGAUGUUGACGGAGUUACCGUCAUCACAUCUAACGAUAUCCUGAAGAAGACAAUUGACAGUGGUACCUUAUGUGUACAUUUUGUUUAAGAGUUUCUGUAACUUUCUUUUUCUUUAAAAAUUAUUUCUGGGAUGGAGGAAGAGCUCAGUCAGCUGUACAAUGAAAAGCUCACAUCUGGAGGAGAAGAUGGGCGGAUCCUACCCUUACCAGGCAGAAGGGAAAUGGGAUUCUGAUGGAGUCCUGGAAGACGGCCAUCGGGGAUCUCUACAAGAGGGAUAAAGAGGAGUGACAGGGAGAGCAUCCUCCAGAGCUCAGGCCUCCCCUUGCAGUACCUGUUGACCUUUCUGAUGCUUAGGGACCAAAGCAUCUUCAAGAAGAGAUCUAUAUGCACGUAGUAAGAAAGGUAGAGCAGGGGCCUGGCCUAAGGAAUGAUGCCUCUCACAGUGGGCUAGGACUUCCUACAUCCAUCUCCUAUAGACAUGCUCAGCCUGAUCUAGUUCCCACAGCCUGCACUGCUUGGUGUCAGUCUCUGAAUUCAUAACACAAACGAACAGAAGACAAAAAUCAUUUGCAGAUUCUGAAAGGAAGGAUUUCACCAGGAGAGAUGUCUAAAAUGUGCUAGUCUGGGAAGCUGGAGAGGAGGCGGUCCUUAAAACCAACCAAUCCAAGACCUGGAAAAGGAAACUUCACGAGCACACCCCCCCUCAGAAACAUCUUCCCCCUCUCCCUCCCUCCACCCCACCCCAUUUACACCAAACUUACUUGUCAAUUUCCUCAGAGAAACUUGAAUGGAUUUUUCUAACCUGCCCCAACUCCAAAUUGAUCAGUUAAUUAAGCUGAUCUCUAGGAGGUUGUUGGGGAACACAGUUCCCUUCUCCUUUUAUGUUCCACGGUUCCAAAUAAACUCUUCAGAGGCACCCA